AUUGAACGCUGGCGGCAUGCCUUACACAUGCAAGUCGAACGGUAACGCGGGGCAACCUGGCGACGAGUGGCGAACGGGUGAGUAAUAUAUCGGAACGUGCCCAGUAGUGGGGGAUAGCCCGGCGAAAGCCGGAUUAAUACCGCAUACGACCUACGGGUGAAAGGGGGGGAUCGCAAGACCUCUCGCUAUUGGAGCGGCCGAUAUCAGAUUAGGUAGUUGGUGGGGUAAAAGCCCACCAAGCCAACGAUCUGUAGCUGGUCUGAGAGGACGACCAGCCACACUGGGACUGAGACACGGCCUAGACUCCUACGGGAGGCAGCAGUGGGGAAUUUUGGACAAUGGGCGAAAGCCUGAUCCAGCCAUGCCGAGUGCGGGAAGAAGGCCUUCGGGUUGUAAACCGCUUUUGUCAGGGGAGAAAUCCUUUGAGCUAAUACCUCGGGGGGAUGACGGUACCUGAAGAACAAGCACCGGCUACUACGUGCCAGCAGCCGCCGUAA
rnacentral:rRNA from 1 species